rnacentral:lncRNA from 1 species
CUCUUCCUCUGUGUGAGAUCACGUGGGAGGCGCCAUCUAUGAGGAACACCUCUUCCUCUGUGUGAGGUCACGUGGGAGGCGCCAUCUAUGAGGAACACACUCUUACCAGCCAUCGAAUCUGCUGGGGCUUCGAUCUUAGACUUCCCCACCUUCAGAACCAUGAACAACAAAUUUCUGUUUGUAAAUCACCCAGCCUAAGGUAUUUGGUUAAAGCAGUGGGAACAGACCAGACAUACCUCAGUGAUGGAAUCACGAAACGGUCAGGUCCUUGUACUCCUAAUGAGGAGAGUGAACAUGAAAUUUAUCAUCCAAACUGUGACACUUUUGAGAGAAGGGGAUACUAUUCAUUAUACUGGACAGCAGAUGUGAAUCAGGACUGUCCUAGAGAAACCAGAGGAUAUAAAAGAUCCAAUAAUGACAACUGCUAUGUUAUUCAUAAGAGUUCAUUCAUACAGGAGUUGAUUUCAUGCUUGUGUUUCAUGAAUAAAGGGUCAAUCAAGUCAACAAAUAUGAGGGCUGAGUUGUUUUUCCCCAAAAGAUAUGGUGAAGUCCUAACCUGCUAUUUGUAAAUGUGACCUUCAUUGGAAAUAGGGUCUCUGCAGAUGUACUUGGUCGAGAAGAGGUUAUGCUGGAUGAAGGUGGGCCCUAAAUACAGUCACUGGUGUCCUUAUAAAAAGUCCAUGUGAAGACACAGGGACAAAGAGGGGGAGGCCAGAUAAAGACAGGGGCAGACAUUGGGGUGAUCUGGGCCCACAAGCCAAGGAAUGCCAGGGACUGCCAGCUGUCACAGAUGCCGGGAGAAAGACAUGGUGCCAAUUGCCCCUAAGUCUCCAGAAGGAACCAACCCUGUCGACACUUUGAUAUUGAAUUUCCAGCCUACAGAACUGUGAUAAAAUACAUUUCUGGGCUGGGCACGGUGGCUCACACCUGUAAUCCUAGCACUUUGGGAGGCCAAGGCAGGUGGAUCAUGAGGUCAGGAGUUAGACACUAGCCUGGCCAAUAUGGUGAAACCCUGUCUCUACUAAAAAUACAAAAAUUAGCCGGGCACAGUGGCAUGUGCCUAUAGUCCCAGCUACUCGGGAGGUUGAGGCAGAAGAAUUGCUUGAACCUGGGGGCAGAGGUUGCAGUGAGCCAAGAUCGUGCCACUGCACUCCAGCCUGGCGACAGAGCGAGACUCUGUCUCAAAAAAAAAAAAAUUCUGUUGUUUUAAGUAUAUAAUACUUUGUUAAGACAGUCCUAAGAAACUCUAUUGUAAAAGCUUUAAUAUAAG